rnacentral:rRNA from 1 species
AAUGAACGUUGGCGGCGUGGAUUAGGCAUGCAAGUCGCGCGAGAACUGUAGCAAUACAGGGAAAGCGGCGUAAGGGACAGUAAUACCUAGAAACGUACCCCCGGGUCUGGGAUAGCGGCGGGAAACUGCCGGUAAUACCAGAUAACGUCUCCGGACCAAAGGUGUGAUUCCACCUGGGGAGCGGUCUAGGCCCUAUUAGCUUGUUGGUGGGGUAACGGCCUACCAAGGCAAAGAUGGGUAGCGGGUGUGAGAGCACGACCCGCGUCACUGGGACUGAGACACUGCCCAGACACCUACGGGAGGCAG